AGAUCACCUCUUGGCUGUGGGU
rnacentral:miRNA from 1 species